rnacentral:rRNA from 1 species
GAUGAACGCUGGCGGCGUGCUUAACACAUGCAAGUCGAGCGAAGCACUUUGGAAAGAUUCUUCGGAUGAUUUCCUUUGUGACUGAGCGGCGGACGGGUGAGUAACGCGUGGGUAACCUGCCUCAUACAGGGGGAUAACAGUUAGAAAUGACUGCUAAUACCGCAUAAGACCACGGUACCGCAUGGUACCGUGGUAAAAACUCCGGUGGUAUGAGAUGGACCCGCGUCUGAUUAGGUAGUUGGUGGGGUAACGGCCUACCAAGCCGACGAUCAGUAGCCGACCUGAGAGGGUGACCGGCCACAUUGGGACUGAGACACGGCCCAGACUCCUACGGGAGGCAGCAGUGGGGAAUAUUGCACAAUGGAGGAAACUCUGAUGCAGCGACGCCGCGUGAAGGAUGAAGUAUUUCGGUAUGUAAACUUCUAUCAGCAGGGAAGAAAAUGACGGUACCUGACUAAGAAGCCCCGGCUAACUACGUG